AUUUCAUCUAGGUUUGUUGAGUCCGGAAAAAUUACCUGUUGCUUGUUUUCCUGGUGGAACAAUAGCCUCUGAACAGAUGGUUCCUGGUACCGCAGAGGAAACUUGAAUAUUCGCCAGCAUGCUUCAGUUGCUGUUAUGUAUCUGCAUCUAAGGAGAUCUUUGUUGUAUGGGACAACAAAUCCGUUGUUCAACUUGACUCCCCCCUUAUCUAUUUGUCGGCCAUUAUCCCGUCUCCUGUAUCUUGGGAAGUUGUCUUCAUCAACGACCGUCUCAUCACAGAAUUCUUUUGGAAAGUACUUACUUCACAUACGUUUUUCCAUGCAGGGUGACUUUGGAUUUGCCUCACCACAUGGUCCGUGCAUCAUAAAAUUCUUGACAGUUUCAAAUGUUUCCGGAUCCCUGUCCUUGUCCGGGAUUUCAGCGCAUAUAAUUUGAUCUGUUUGUGAGGGCUUGAGACACUUCCCUUUCUCUUUUCUGUCAAGGAAUAUUAGUAUAUGGGCAUGUGGGAGUCCUCUCUUCUGGAAUUCUAUUGUGAAGAUGACUGCAUAUAUGUUUUCACUUUGUAUUAGUAAAUUACUAGUAUAAAAAAGUGCAAGCAUGUAUUACUGAUAAGUGAUGAUUUACUGAUACUCACUUGCUUUAGUCUUUCCAAAAUGUUGUUUACUCUUAAUAUCAAACAUUAGCUCUUUUAGUUUUAUCAUGAACACUCGAACUACAAUGUCAGGUCGUUCUGCUGGUUUCUGGUUCCCGGCUUCAUCUAGCAUCAACUGAAUCUCAGGCCAAUUAGGGUUGCAUGUGAAUGUUAUGAACAAGUCAGGAUGUCCAGCCCAACGGCAUAUUGCCAUUGCA